AUGGCGACCGGCGCACGGGUGAGUAACACGUAUCCAACCUGCCGAUGACUCGGGGAUAGCCUUUCGAAAGAAAGAUUAAUACCCGAUGGCAUAGUUCUUCCGCAUGGUAGAACUAUUAAAGAAUUUCGGUCAUCGAUGGGGAUGCGUUCCAUUAGCUUGUUGGCGGGGUAACGGCCCACCAGGGCAUCGAUGGAUAGGGGUUCUGAGAGGAAGGUCCCCCACAUUGGAACUGAGACACGGUCCAAACUCCUACGGGAGGCAGCAG
rnacentral:rRNA from 1 species